UCAAUAUAAUUUGAUUAGUGAUUAAAAGUCUUAUAAUUUUUUGUAUACUUAGUUGGGAAAUCAUUUAUUAGGUUAUUGUAUUAGUUAAAAAUUUAAUUGAUUGAUUGGGUUUAGUACUGUAAAGGGUUAGAUAUUAAUAAUUUAUUAUAGGAUAAGUUGUGUUGAUUCUGCGUACCUUGUGUAUCAGGGUUAAUUUAAUAGAAUAUAUUUAUUUGUUGUUCUCGAUUUUUUUUGAGUUAAUAGCUUAUAUUCAUUAUUGUAUUAUAAAUAUGGAAAAUAGGCUAUUAGUGGUGAAAUGCUAUUCGUUGAGAAGGGUAUCUAGUUUCUUGGGAAAUUAAUUUAAUUAAGAUCUUUUUUUUUAACUACUUUAAUUAAUAGAGUAUUUUAAAGGAAAAUUAAUAAUAAAAGGGAUUAGCUUUUUAUUAAAGAUUUAAAAGGUAAAUUGAUUAAUACGUUUUGUGGGUUUAGAAUUGAUUAAUAAUUGAAGUAUGUUAAAAUUUUAUGUGAUGAUGAAUUUGAUUUAUUGGCCUUUAAUAUUUUACUGAGACAUAAUAGUGAUUUUUGUAAUAAUAGUGAUAAUGAUGAAAUUAGUAAAGUGUGAUUAUAGGGUAUUGUGAUGAUAAGUUAAGAUGAGGAAUUCGGCAAUGGCUUAUUCGCCUGUUUAACAAAAACAUCUCUUCUUGGAUUGAUUAGGAAGUAUAACCUGCCCAAUGAGUAGAAAUUUAAUGGCCGCGGUACCUUGACCGUGCAAAGGUAGCAUAAUCAUUAGUCUUUUAAUUGAGGGCUGGAAUGAAUGGUUGGACGAGAUAAGAACUUUCUUAUCUUUAAGAAGUUGAAUUUAAUUAUUGAGUUAAAAAGCUUAAAUUUUUUUAUGGGACGAGAAGACCCUAUAGAGUUUAAUAAUUAUUGAUUAGCAGUAAUGAGUAAUAGAAUUUUAAUUAAUAAUUAUUUUGUUGGGGUGAUAGGAAGAUAAAUGUAACUCUUUUUCUAUUAUAAAUAUUGAUCUAUAGAUUUCUGAUCCAUUAUUAGUGAUUAAAAGACUAAAUUACCUUAGGGAUAACAGCGUAAUCUUUUCUGAGAGUUCUAAUCGAAGUUGAGGAUUGCGACCUCGAUGUUGGAUUAAAGAUUAGACCUAGGUGUAGUAGCUUAGGAUCUAGGUCUGUUCGACCUUUAAAUUCUUACAUGAUCUGAGUUCAAACCGGCGCGAGCCAGGUUGGUUUCUAUCUAUUAACAUUGAAAAUAUUUUAGUACGAAAGGACCAAGUAUUUGAAAUAAUUUUUGUUUAGGAAUAUUAUUAAUGACUAUUUUGGCAGAUAAGUGCAAUGGAUUUAGAAUCUAUAAAUGUAAGUUGUUGUUACAU
rnacentral:rRNA from 1 species